UACGUAGGGUGCGAGCGUUAAUCGGAAUUACUGGGCGUAAAGCGUGCGCAGGCGGUUCGCUGUGUCCGAUGUGAAAGCCCCGGGCUUAACCUGGGAAUGGCAUUGGAAACUGGCGGGCUUGAGUGUGGCAGAGGGGGGUGGAAUUCCGCGUGUAGCAGUGAAAUGCGUAGAUAUCAGGAGGAACACCAAUGGCGAAGGCAGCUCGCUGGGACGUUACUGACGCUGAGACGCGAAAGCGUGGGGAGCAAACAGG
rnacentral:rRNA from 1 species